GACGAACGCUGGCGGCGCGCUUAACACAUGCAAGUCGAACGGAAAGGCCUGCUUUCCCUUGUGGAUUGCGGGUACUCGAGUGGCGAACGGGUGAGUAACACGUGAGUGAUCUGCCCCCAACUUGGGUAUAAGCCUGGGAAACUGGGUCUAAUUCCCGAUAGGACUGCAGGGUGGUGCCUGUGGUGGAAAACGAUUUUCUAGUGGUUGGGGAUGAGCUCGCGGCCUAUCAGCUUGUUGGUGGGGUAAUGGCCUACCAAGGCGGCGACGGGUAGCCGGCCUGGGAGGGUGGACGGCCACAUUGGGACUGAGACACGGCCCAGACUCCUACGGGAGGCAGCAGUGGGGAAGAUUGCACGAUGGGCGGAAGCCUGAUGCAGCGACGCCGCGUGGGGGAUGACGGCCUUCGGGUGGUAAACUCCUUUCGACCGCGAGGAAGCCACCUGGUUGGAAGGGUGGUGACGGUAGUGGUAGAAGAAGCACCGGCUAACUACGUG
rnacentral:rRNA from 1 species